UCAGAUUGAACGCUGGCGGCAUGCUUUACACAUGCAAGUCGAACGGUAACAGGUCUUCGGAUGCUGACGAGUGGCGAACGGGUGAGUAAUACAUCGGAACGUGCCUAGUAGUGGGGGAUAACUACUCGAAAGAGUAGCUAAUACCGCAUGAGAUCUACGGAUGAAAGCAGGGGACCUUCGGGCCUUGUGCUACUAGAGCGGCUGAUGGCAGAUUAGGUAGUUGGUGGGGUAAAGGCUUACCAAGCCUGCGAUCUGUAGCUGGUCUGAGAGGACGACCAGCCACACUGGGACUGAGACACGGCCCAGACUCCUACGGGAGGCAGCAGUGGGGAAUUUUGGACAAUGGGCGAAAGCCUGAUCCAGCAAUGCCGCGUGCAGGAUGAAGGCCCUCGGGUUGUAAACUGCUUUUGUACGGAACGAAAAGCCUGGGGCUAAUAUCCCCGGGUCAUGACGGUACCGUAAGAAUAAGCACCGGCUAACUACGUGCCAGCAGCCGCGGUAAUACGUAGGGUGCAAGCGUUAAUCGGAAUUACUGGGCGUAAAGCGUGCGCAGGCGGUUUUGUAAGACAGUGGUGAAAUCCCCGGGCUCAACCUGGGAACUGCCAUUGUGACUGCAAGGCUAGAGUGCGGCAGAGGGGGAUGGAAUUCCGCGUGUAGCAGUGAAAUGCGUAGAUAUGCGGAGGAACACCGAUGGCGAAGGCAAUCCCCUGGGCCUGCACUGACGCUCA
rnacentral:rRNA from 1 species